AUGGUCUGUUUAUUUUUUUUUCUUAUGUCAAUGGCAGAGAGCAGAAGAAAAAGCUGUUUUUCUAAGCAGCCAUGGCAGCCAAUGAGAACAGAAACGUCAAGAUUUGAAUGGCCACACUACGGAAAUGUCUUCCUGAAAGGUCAUGGUAAAGGUUUGUGCACUUCAGGAACUUCACUACUUCUAUUAAUUUCAGGAGACAGGAGGAGUCCUAGACAUACAUCAUUAUUAAAGUGUGAGACCCUUAGCUUGUGACAGUGUAUAGCACUGCUAGCUCAGAUAAGAAAACUUGUGCUGAACUAAGAGAUAUUCUGGAUCAUGACUAGUGUGUUGUGCUUGGAAGAAGAGUGCAAAAAUUUGUGUAAAACAUCGAAGCCAGACAAAUAUGCUAGGAACCUGAAUGGUGAUUUAGAUACUAGUAUGCAAAUAUGAAAAGUGACAUUUUACUGUAGCUGCUGUGUGCUGAUCAUUCUCUUGUUUUGUAUGUCUUUCCUCCAUUUUUCAGGCAGUGCUUAAUUUAGAAGUUACUUCCAAAUGCAGGUGUCAUCCCCUUUCACCAGCAUGGUGCAUAUGCUCACCACUACUACUGACCUUCUGGAGCAAAGCUGUUGAAGCUAAAGAGGUUCUACCGAUGUCCCUUUGUCUUUAAAUUGUCCUCAUUUCAUGCAAUGCCCCAUUGGAGAAAAGGUUAUAAAUCUCAACAGAAAGCUCUAGGAAUGAAGACUGUCAGGCGGCACAAUACUGGAAGAACAGAAGAUGGAAAAAGGGAUUUGCCUCUAAGAAUGAUACUUGAAAGAUCCUAACUCCAUCCAAAUAACUCUAUGUUGCUUAAAACACUGCAUGAAUGUUUGCAUUUGUCCAAUUUGCCCUGACAUACAGAUUUUGUCUGGAUCCUUAUCUAAUGUCUACAUAUUUGUAUGUUUUUAUUAUACAUGCAUUUUCGUAUGCCUCUUUUCUAAACACAUACAUUUUGUACAUUUUUAUCAUAAAACCACACAUCAAAAUUUGAAGAAAUGUGGAAUCUGAAGAAUUACUUGUAUUCCCAUCCAUAUAGCAGUCGAGGAAGUAUGAGUUAUGUGAGUUCCCUUAAAACUGUAGACUGAUUCAAUUUCUCCCAAAGCAUUUUUUUAUUCCUUAAUUAUCCCGUAGUCCUAGACAGAGCUGUAGACAUGGAGGCAGAAAUCUGAAACCUGCUCUUCUCAUCUGCAAGUCAGGUUCAAGUCUCCAGAACCAUUGUUAUUGUUGUUGUUGCUAU
rnacentral:lncRNA from 1 species